rnacentral:rRNA from 1 species
AGAGUUUGAUCAUGGCUCAGAUUGAACGCUGGCGGCAGGCCUAACACAUGCAAGUCGAACGGUAACAGGAAGCAGCUUGCUGCUUCGCUGACGAGUGGCGGACGGGUGAGUAAUGUCUGGGAAACUGCCUGAUGGAGGGGGAUAACUACUGGAAACGGUAGCUAAUACCGCAUAACGUCGCAAGACCAAAGAGGGGGACCUUCGGGCCUCUUGCCAUCAGAUGUGCCCAGAUGGGAUUAGCUAGUAGGUGGGGUAACGGCUCACCUAGGCGACGAUCCCUAGCUGGUCUGAGAGGAUGACCAGCCACACUGGAACUGAGACACGGUCCAGACUCCUACGGGAGGCAGCAGUGGGGAAUAUUGCACAAUGGGCGCAAGCCUGAUGCAGCCAUGCCGCGUGUAUGAAGAAGGCCUUCGGGUUGUAAAGUACUUUCAGCGGGGAGGAAGGCGAUAAGGUUAAUAACCUUGUCGAUUGACGUUACCCGCAGAAGAAGCACCGGCUAACUCCGUGCCAGCAGCCGCGGUAAUACGGAGGGUGCAAGCGUUAAUCGGAAUUACUGGGCGUAAAGCGCACGCAGGCGGUCUGUCAAGUCGGAUGUGAAAUCCCCGGGCUCAACCCGGGAACUGCAUUCGAAACUGGCAGGCUAGAGUCUUGUAGAGGGGGGUAGAAUUCCAGGUGUAGCGGUGAAAUGCGUAGAGAUCUGGAGGAAUACCGGUGGCGAAAGCGGCCCCUGGACAAAGACUGACGCUCAGUGCGAAAGCGUGGGGAGCAACAGGAUUAGAUACCCUGGUAGUC